CAGCAGCCACGGUAACACGUAGGGUGCAAGCGUUAAUCGGAAUUACUGGGCGUAAAGCGUGCGCAGGCGGUUAUAUAAGACAGAUGUGAAAUCCCCGGGCUCAACCUGGGAACUGCAUUUGUGACUGUAUAGCUAGAGUACGGCAGAGGGGGAUGGAAUUCCGCGUGUAGCAGUGAAAUGCGUAGAUAUGCGGAGGAACACCGAUGGCGAAGGCAAUCCCCUGGGCCUGUACUGACGCUCAUGCACGAAAGCGUGGGGAGCAAACAGGAUUAGAUACCCCUGUAGUCCCUGUCUCUUAUAC
rnacentral:rRNA from 1 species